GGUUCCAUGGUGUGAUGGCGAGCACUCUGGACUCUGAAUCCAGCGUGAAUCCGAGUUCGAGUCUCGGUGGAACCU
rfam:Sus scrofa isolate TJ Tabasco breed Duroc chromosome 4, whole genome shotgun sequence.